UACGUAGGGUGCAGGCGUUAAUCGGAAUUACUGGGCGUAAAGCGUGCGCAGGCGGUCUUUUUAAGUCAGAUGUGAAAUCCCCCGGGCUUAACCUGGGAACUGCGUUUGAAACUGGAAGGCUAGAGUGUGGCAGAGGGGGGGUGGAAUUCCACGUGUAGCAGUGAAAUGCGUAGAGAUGUGGAGGAACACCGAUGGCGAAGGCAGCCCCCUGGGCUAACACUGACGCCUCAUGCACGAAAGCGUGGGGAGCAAACAGG
rnacentral:rRNA from 1 species